CACUUUUGAUUUUUCUUCUCUGACUAACCCAAAAAAUACACUCCUCUAAUCCCCUACCCCUUUGUCAAUCUGCAACGAAAUCAUUGAAGAAGGCUUUCUACCAUCGAUCCCAACAGCCAUCAGUAACAGGGUAAUGGGCACCUCACUGGUUUUAAUAGCAUAAAAAAGGUACUAAUACAGAAUGAGUGCAAGCAGUUAGGUAGCGGAGGCAAUAUAGAAGGAAAUUGAGUCUACACACGCGGGUAAGUAACUUCACUUGCUUGAAUAAAAGGUUUUAAAUUGAAUAUAAAUGCUGCUAAUGUGGUCUCAAUUGCAGUAAUGCAGUUGUGAAAACCCAAUAAACCUUGAUGUGUAUUGUGGUUGCAAUUGUGGUUUUGUAGCAAUCCUUGAUAUUAUAGAAAAGUGCAUAUAAAUGCAGCCACAAUUGCAAUCACGAUGUGGUUGCUGAAACCCAAUAUUCCUUCAUGUUCUGGUUGCACUGUUUUUUAAAACCUUGCUUUGGAUUAUUGACUCAUGACCCAAGACCCUCUUAUUUUCAUGUCACACUCAAUGAUGAUCAACUUUGGAUGUAAGUCAAUUGCUUCCCGUUUCCUUGUGUUGUUUCCUAAUCAUUAUUAUCAUGCGUUGUGUUUCAAUUCAAGUUGUGUGUUUUGGUCUCCGUGCAAAAUGAAACCAGUUUGCAUUUCUUGUUUGGAAGAACUUUGAGGGAGCCACUAGAAUUGUUGAUCAAAGAGGUGUCAGCAAGAUAUCUGCUCACCCUAGUGGAAGGUUUAUCUUUCAGGUUAUAAGGGAAUCCCAAUGAAAAGACCAGUAUCUGUGUUUUGCUGAAAACUUUUGCGCUUGUUCGUUCUUCUAUGAUGUUGUCAACAGAGUGUAAACAUCUAUUAGGUGCAAAACUUGCUGCAUCUUUGAGAUCUUAUGUUGAAGUUAAGAUGUCUGAUGAGGAGCUAGCUGUGUUACUAUCCAGAAUAUAGCCCUUGUUCUGUAGAAGAACAAUUUAUAAUUUAUUUAAUAUUGAUUUUAUGGAGCAAGGAACAUAUCAUUCUUAGAUUUAGUUAGAAGUGGUGAUCUCAGGUCAAAUAACAUAAAGAAAAUAAUGAUUUUCGCUAAUUUAACUUUUUGUCAUCAAUAGUAUUGUUAACUUUUUGAAGGAAAUUCUAACGGGUUCAAAUUAUAUAGGAAGAAUUUGAACCAGAAAACUGAGCAUUACCAAUAAGGACAAGAAUAUAAAAUAAAAUUAAUUCAAAUAAACACAUCUAAAACUAAUUAAAGUAAAGUAAAAUUAAAACAAAAUUAGAGCAAACUAAAAUAAACCAUAUGUGGGAUCUAAAUCAAAUAGACACGGCCUAAUAAACUAUCCUACAUGGGAAAUUAGAAUUGGAGAAUGACUCCUAUUGAUUUAUUGGGUAAUCAACUAUUCCUCAAAUAAAAUUAUUUACUCUCACAAAGAAUCAUGAGAACACAAUAAAAAAAAUAAUAACGAACACAAAAAUUUAGUAUGGUUCGGCACCUCUUUCCUAUGUCCACGGAAUCGUCUCAAAGAUAUUUUACUAUCAUAAAAAUGAUUAUUAGAUUGUGACUCAUCCUAAAUUAUGUAUCACUCUACAAACUCAAAUUUCUCAUUCAAUAGUUAAAAAAAGUUACAACACUUUUAAGUAAAGACACUUUUUUCUCAACAAAGUGACUUUGUUUCAAUGUCUCUCAUCUCAUACACUCUCUUCAUGUGCAUCUUCUCUAUUUAUCGUGAAGAUUAUCACCAACUAUAAUAAAUAACUUCUUCUUGAAAGUUGAAACAAAAAAUAACUUUCAAUGCAUCCAUUCAAAUAGACUCCAUCUAAUAAAAUGCAAAUUUCUACUUUGUAUUUAAAUUAUCUAAAUCUUAGUGGUAAAAAUUCAAUUCUUACAAUGCAUUAAAUGCACCUUAUCUUUUGACUUGAAACUUUACAUGAUUGGAGAUGGAAGUGGAAUUGGAGGCGCAUGUUUUAUAAAAGAGAGGAAGAUGAGUUGCAUCAGUUAAGGCUUAUUUUAUCUGGGGUAACAUUGACCAGAGAAGUACCAGAUUCUUGAACUUGGAAUAAAACUGCAGAUAUGACUGUUAAUUCAUAUCAGCAUGAGUUCAUAUCAAAUAGCUUUGGGAAAUGUGUUGUUCCUUCCGAACUUCUGGUUUUUUCAUGGAAGCUUUUAUGGGGAAGACUAUCAACUCGUUAGACUUUACAAAAUAGAGGGGUGUUUGUUGAACAACCUAGUUGUGUGUUCUGUGAGUUCGACCCUGACACUUUAAAUCACAUUUUUGUGCAGUGUCAGUUUCUCAGCAGGUUUGGAAUACUAUUUUUUUUAUGGUUGGGUUAUAGCAUGGUUCAAAUUAAUUUGCUGCAACAUCAUUACAUUCAAUUUGGAUCUUUGUUUAGAGGAAAGAGGCUGCGAAGGUUCAGAUUUUUUUUAUGGCAUGCUACAUGUGGGUGUUUAUGGUUGUAUCGAAAUUCUGUAAUAUUCAGAGAAUUUCUUGGACCUGGAUGAAGUAUGAGGGACAUGGUCCUAGUUCUCUUUCUUUUGCAAAUUGGUGUACAAGUCCUUUAUUAUGCUUUUAACAUUUGUUAA